rnacentral:rRNA from 1 species
AGUGAACGCUGGCGGUAUGCCUAACACAUGCAAGUCGAACGGCAGCACAGUAAGAGCUUGCUCUUACGGGUGGCGAGUGGCGGACGGGUGAGGAAUACAUCGGAAUCUACUUUUUCGUGGGGGAUAACGUAGGGAAACUUACGCUAAUACCGCAUACGACCUACGGGUGAAAGCAGGGGAUCUUCGGACCUUGCGCGAUUGAAUGAGCCGAUGUCGGAUUAGCUAGUUGGUGAGGUAAAGGCCCACCAAGGCGACGAUCCGUAGCUGGUCUGAGAGGAUGAUCAGCCACACUGGAACUGAGACACGGUCCAGACUCCUACGGGAGGCAGCAGUGGGGAAUAUUGGACAAUGGGCGAAAGCCUGACCCAGCCAUACCGCGUGGGUGAAGAAGGCCUUCGGGUUGUAAAGCCCUUUUGUUGGGAAAGAAAAGCAGCAGGUUAAUACCCCGCUGUUCUGACGGUACCCAAUGAAUAAGCACCGGCUAACUUCGUG